UGAACAGUAAAGUGAUAUUGAAUUCUAAAUUGGUCCAGAAGCUGAGCGUGAUGCUUAACACUUGGCAGGAGAGGGGUUAAGAGGCAUCCCGGACAAACUGAGACUUCCCCUAAGAGGAAGGACUGGAAGCCCAUGGCAGGGCAGGUGAGUCUCACAGGAGUUUGUCAUUCGAGGUGCUUUCCCUGCGCCACCUAAACCCCUCUCCCGGACCAUCCCCAACAGUGAGCCUUCCGUACCUGCACAGCCCUGCCUGCCUGUGGAGAUGAGCAGGAAGUGGAAAGAAGGUCAUCCCUGAGCUGAACAUCUAGGGUUAACUCAGCGCCAAGCUCCUGUUCUUAAACAGCCUGAUGUCUCAUGCUAAGAAGCAGGUCACGGCAUUUAUCUAAAGAUGCGCCUCUCCCAGCGGGUCUCAGACUCUCCAGCCUGGCCAUGACCAUGACAGUGACAGCAAAGAGGACCGUUCAGAGUGUGGGGGUAGCCUCUCUGGACCAGGCCUCCCUCUGCAACUGGAAUUGCAGUGACACAGGAGAUUCAAGACAGCAGAGACCCGCCAGACCAAGGGUCUCACUGUCCCUUCAUCCCAUUAGACAGACAUUCUCGCUUUCUGCCAAAGCUGCGAUUCCUUUCAAUGUCCAAACGGUUUUGGGCCCCCGAGCUGCUGCAUGCGGCUUGCCUGGUCUGGAGGAAGACAAAGAGGUGGUUAGCUGCAGCCCACAGCCUGGGUUUGAAACAGGCAUGUUUGAGCGAGUGUUUCAAAGGAUGGCAGUGAUCUGCUCAUUUUUAUUACAUUCGUGGGGCAGAAUUUGUCAGCCCUUGGUGACACCCAUUAUAAUGCUUUGACCUCAUUCAGUCACCAAAGGGCAGAUUUCUCUUUGUUCUCUAACAGAAACACAACAUGGCAAGUAAACGUGAGUUCUAAAACGAGACUGUCACCAGGGGUAUUUAUGAGCCUAUCAUGUCCCCGC